AGACGGAACUCUGGAGAGACCGUAAUGGCGCCGAAGGGGCAAGGUGAGGCAAGGCUAUCACUCAAACUCUCAGGCAAAAGGACAGAGCAUAGGAA
rnacentral:ncRNA from 1 species